CCCAUCAAUCUCAAAGCAAAGGUUGUAAAGUCAUGGACUUGUCUCCACCUCAGAGCUCUUGGAGUUAAUGUGCAAUGCUGAGUCAGGCUGGGACAGUGACAUGUCUACUAUCUUGCUGCUGCUACAUCUGCUACCACCAUUUGCACAAGGGUGAAAGAGACCAGGAAAGAUGUCUGCAUCUCAAGCUGUCGAUAACCUCAACAAAUUCCCAAAGGUAUGUUGUUUAAAAUAUACAUUCCAUCACCUCUAUUUUCAUGGACAGUGAGGUGAGCUAAUCUACUGUCAGAGGAUAGUCACUUAAUACUGUUGUUUAAUGUGUUGUUGUAGGCUGGAACCAGUGUACAGCAGCAUCUAGACAACAGCAGUCAGCCCUACCUUCUUGCUCAGGGAUCCACAAGAAGCAGCAUUCACACCUUCAUUGUGAUUGACAAGC
ensembl:lncRNA